ensembl:lncRNA
CAGCGAUGUCGAGUGCCUCGCGCUUCCUGUUGUCUCGUGUUGCAGCAGUACCCACUCACCUAACCACCUACUGGGUUUUUGAACACUUUUCCACUUUGAACCACUUUGAAUGUGCAGAUAAGAACAUGUGAGCAGACUUAAAGUGAGGUAAUCAGACAGAUCACCUCAGACAUCUUCUGAAACAUCAGCAUCAUCAGGUCUACAGAGGAGUCAAGAUGAAGACUCUCAGCCUCACAGUGGGACUGCUGCUCGUGCUGUUCGCUGUUUGCUCCUGUGAUGCCUCGUGUAAGUCUGUCAGCCUACUCUCUGCUCCAGACUGGAGGGAAAUUCUACUGUAACCGCCAAACUCUGCAUUUUUCCUCUAAUUAGCUCGUUUAGUUUGCUGUUAUAAGUUCUUUGAAAACAGGAUCCCAAAGUCACACAUCCUCUCCGUCAGCAAAACCUACAGCCUCUGCUCAACACCGGCAUUUGUGAUCGAGACACCCAGAGGGGAGUACUGUGUGAGGCAGACUGUGAAGUGGGCAAAGACUGAAUUUAUCAAACAAGAAACAAAGAAACAAUUAACACAUCAAGCACCUGCUGCAGCAUUGAUGAAUGCCUCGAGCAGAAAUACAUCAGCCACUCCAUAAAGUCUCUUUGUAAACACGAAGAGCUGCUGAACCUCUGCAUACUUUACCUGCUUAAUUACUGUUAAUAAUGCUGAAGAGAGGACACAUUUAUUGAGCACUGAUUUCAGAUCUUUCCAUUAAAAAUCAUAAUAUUAAAUUAAUAAUUUGGUUAAGAUGUUAAAUGUCGAUAUUGACAUGUAUGUCAGUAAUAAAGUUGAUUAACAAAUUGUA